GAUGAACGCUGGCGGCGUGCCUAAUACAUGCAAGUCGAGCGAACAGAUGAGGAGCUUGCUCCUCUGACGUUAGCGGCGGACGGGUGAGUAACACGUGGAUAACCUACCUAUAAGACUGGGAUAACUUCGGGAAACCGGAUCUAAUACCGGAUAAUAUAUUGAACCGCAUGGUUCAAUAGUGAAAGACGGUUUUGCUGUCACUUAUAGCUGGAUCCGCGCCGCAUUAGCUAGUUGGUAAGGUAACGGCUUAUCAAGGCAACGAUGCGUAGCCGACCUGAGAGGGUGAUCGGCCACACUGGAACUGAGACACGGUCCAGACUACUACGGGAGGCAGCAGUAGGGAAUCUUCCGCAAUGGGCGAAAGCCUGACGGAGCAACGCCGCGUGAGUGAUGAAGGUCUUCGGAUCGUAAAACUCUGUUAUUAGGGAAGAACAAAUGUGUAAGUAACUAUGCACGUCUUGACGGUACCGAAUCAGAAAGCAACGGCUAACUACGUG
rnacentral:rRNA from 1 species